rnacentral:rRNA from 1 species
GCAUAUCAAUAAGCGGAGGAAAAGAAACUAACAAGGAUUCCCUUAGUAACGGCGAGUGAAGUGGGAAUGGCUCAAAUUUUAAAUCUGAUCGGGAAACCGGUCCGAAUUGUAAUCUAAAGAAGCGUUUACAGCGUCCUUUCGGGUAUAGGUCCCUUGGAAUAGGGCAUCAUAGAGGGUGAGAAUCCCGUCUGUGACACGAGUUUGGAUGCGAUAUGUUACGCUUUCGACGAGUCGAGUUGUUUGAGAUUGCAGCUCAAAAUGGGUGGUAAAUUCCAUCUAAGGCUAAAUAAUUGCAAGAGACCGAUAGCGAACAAGUACCGUGAGGGAAAGAUGAAAAGAACUUUGAAAAGAGAGUUAAACAGUACGUGAAAUUGUUGAAAGGGGAAACGAUUGAAGCCAGUUAAGUCGGUGGGAAAUCAGCUUCCGGAUUUCUCUGGAGGUGCACUUUCUCGCAGGGCAAGUCAGCAUCAGUUUCGCCAGUCGUAAAAAGUCCGUCAGAAUGUGACUCCUUUCGGAGUGUUAUAACUAACGGUCAAUGCGAUGUGCGAGAUUGAGGAUCGCAAUGAGUGUCUUGCGGGGCUAAGUUUUCGGGUUCUUUGUGAUUGUCUUGGUAACAGCAUGCUGGGUGUCAAGUCGAUUUGCGAGAACGAGAAUUUAGCGUCGUAAAUUCGUUAAGGAUGUUGACGUA